rnacentral:rRNA from 1 species
GAUGAACGCUGGCGGCGUGCCUAAUACAUGCAAGUCGAGCGAACAGAUGAGGAGCUUGCUCCUCUGACGUUAGCGGCGGACGGGUGAGUAACACGUGGAUAACCUACCUAUAAGACUGGGAUAACUUCGGGAAACCGGAGCUAAUACCGGAUAAUAUAUUGAACCGCAUGGUUCAAUAGUGAAAGACGGUUUUGCUGUCACUUAUAGAUGGAUCCGCGCCGCAUUAGCUAGUUGGUAAGGUAACGGCUUACCAAGGCAACGAUGCGUAGCCGACCUGAGAGGGUGAUCGGCCACACUGGCACUGAGACACGGUCCAGACUCCUACGGGAGGCAGCAGUAGGGAAUCUUCCGCAAUGGGCGAAAGCCUGACGGAGCACCGCCGCGUGAGUGAUGAAGGUCUUCGGAUCGUAAAACUCUGUUAUUAGGGAAGAACAAAUGUGUAAGUAACUAUGCACGUCUUGACGGUACCUACUUAGAAAGCCACGGCUAACUACGUG